AGAGUUUGAUCCUGGCUCAGAACGAACGCUGGCGGCGUGCCUAACACAUGCAAGUCGUACGAGAAAGUCCGCUUCGGUGGAUAAGUAAAGUGGCGCACGGGUGAGUAACGCGUGGAUAAUCUACCCUUUAGUCGGGAAUAACUUAUCGAAAGGUGACCUAAUACCGGAUAACAGUGCGCAACUACUGUUGUGUACUCAAAGAAGGCCUCUGCUUGCAAGCUUUCGCUAAAGGAUGAGUCCGCGUCCCAUUAGCUAGUUGGCGGGGUAAUGGCCCACCAAGGCUACGAUGGGUAGCUGGUCUGAGAGGAUGAUCAGCCACACUGGAACUGAGACACGGUCCAGACUCCUACGGGAGGCAGCAGUGGGGAAUUUUGCGCAAUGGGGGAAACCCUGACGCAGCAACGCCGCGUGAGUGAUGAAGGCUUUCGGGUCGUAAAGCUCUGUCAGAAGGGAAGAAAUGUGGGCGGCUAAUAUCUGUUCCACUUGACGGUACCUUCAAAGGAAGCACCGGCUAACUCCGUGCCAGCAGCCGCGGUAAUACGUAGGGUGCGAGCGUUAAUCGGAAUUACUGGGCGUAAAGCGUGCGCAGGCGGUUUUGUAAGACAGGCGUGAAAUCCCCGGGCUUAACCUGGGAACUGCGUUUGUGACUGCAAGGCUAGAGUACGGCAGAGGGGGGUGGAAUUCCACGUGUAGCAGUGAAAUGCGUAGAGAUGUGGAGGAACACCAAUGGCGAAGGCAGCCCCCUGGGUCGAUACUGACGCUCAUGCACGAAAGCGUGGGUAGCAAACAGGAUUAGAUACCCUGGUAGUC
rnacentral:rRNA from 1 species